AUUGAACGCUGGCGGCAGGCUUAACACAUGCAAGUCGAACGAGUGGCGGACGGGUGAGUAAUGUCUGGGAAACUGCCUGAUGGAGGGGGAUAACUACUGGAAACGGUAGCUAAUACCGCAUACUAUCGGAUGUGCCCAUAUGGGAUUAGCUAGUAGGUGGGGUAAAGGCUCACCUAGGCGACGAUCGCUAGCUGGUCUGAGAGGAUGACCAGCCACACUGGAACUGAGCCACGGUCCAGACUCCUACGGGAGGCAGCAGUGGGGAAUAUUGGACAAUGGGCGCAAGCCUGAUGCAGCCAUGCCGCGUGUAUGAAGAAGGCCUUGGGGUUGUAAAGUACUUUCAGCGGGGAGGCGUUACCCGAAGAAGAAGCACCGGCUAACUCCGUGCCAGCAGCCGCGGUAAUUC
rnacentral:rRNA from 1 species